rnacentral:siRNA from 1 species
UGGAUACACUCAUGUCUUACCCUU